rnacentral:rRNA from 1 species
UGAACGCUGGCGGCGUGCCUAAUACAUGCACGUCGAGCGAACGGACGCGAAGCUUGCUUCUCUGAUGUUAGCGGCGGACGGGUGAGUAACACGUGGAUAACCUACCUAUAAGACUGGGAUAACUUCGGGAAACCGUAGCUAAUACCGGAUAAUAUUUUGAACCGCAUGGUUCAAAAGUGAAAGACGGUCUUGCUGUCACUUAUAGAUGGAUCCGCGCUGCAUUAGCUAGUUGGUAAGGUAACGGCUUACCAAGGCAACGAUGCAUAGCCGACCUGAGAGGGUGAUCGGCCACACUGGAACUGAGACACGGUCCAGACUCCUACGGGAGGCAGCAGUAGGGAAUCUUCCGCAAUGGGCGAAAGCCUGACGGAGCAACGCCGCGUGAGUGAUGAAGGUCUUCGGAUCGUAAAACUCUGUUAUUAGGGAAGAACAUAUGUGUAAGUAACUGUGCACAUCUUGACGGUACCUAAUCAGAAAGCCACGGCUAACUACGUG